CGAACCCGGCCCCUCACAAAUUUUGAUCCGGCCUGCAUGUUAAUUUAGGUCCACAAUAACUUUUGGCAAUCCAACCUAAAAAGACGGGAAACGGUUUUCAAACUGCAAUUACUCGACACUCAAUGCAGAGUUUUGACAGAUUUGCCCACCUUUGAGACUCAGAAAUUCCUACAGAACCAGAGAGUUUUCAUAUUUCG